rnacentral:rRNA from 1 species
UAAAAACAACAAACCCCUAUAAAUACCCCCUAAGACACUCAAUAAUUACACCAAACAAACCAUUUUACCCCCUAAGUACGGGCGACAGAAAAGGAACCGUCGCGCCAUAGAGAAAGUACCGCAAGGGAACGCUGAAAGAGAAAUGAAAUAACCCAGUAAAGCCUAAAAAAGCAGAGAUUCAAACUCGUACCUUUUGCAUCAUGAUUUAGCUAGAAAAUCUCAAGCAAAGAGCACUUUAGUUUGACUCCCCGAAACUACGUGAGCUACUCCAAGACAGCCUUAACAUAAGGGCAAACCCGUCUCUGUGGCAAAAGAGUGGGAAGAGCUUUGAGUAGUGGUGACAGACCUAUCGAACCUAGUUAUAGCUGGUUGCCUGAGAAAUGAAUAGAAGUUCAGCCUCUCGGAUUCUCUCCUCACACCCUGCCCCUAAGACAGCCAAGGACAACCAAAGAAGCCGAAAGAGUUAGUUAAAGGGGGUACAGCCCCUUUGACACAAGACACAACUUUUCCAGGUGGGUAAAGAUCAUAUUUAACUACUAAGGUAAAAUGUCCAGGUGGGCCUAAAAGCAGCCACCCCCCACAGAAUGCGUUAUAGCUCAUACAUGUAUACCACCCCCAAUCCUGAUAAAUUUAUCUUAACCCCCUAACCCUACCAGGCCGUCCUAUGCAUCCAUAGGAGCGACCAUGCUAAUAUGAGUAAUAAGAGAAUAUUCGCCUCUCUCCCCGCACAAGUGUAACUCGGAUCGAACCCCCACCGAACCUUAACGACCCCAAACAAAGAGGGCCUUGAACAACAAACCCGCCAACUAGAAAAACACUCAACACUUCAACCGUUAAACCUACACUGGAGUGCCCCCAGGAAAGACUCAUAGAAAAAGAAGGAACUCGGCAAACACAUAAAGCCUCGCCUGUUUACCAAAAACAUCGCCUCUUGCAAAAUUAAUGAAUAAGAGGUCCUGCCUGCCCCGUGACCAUGUGUUUAACGGCCGCGGUAUUUUGACCGUGCGAAGGUAGCGCAAUCACUUGUCUUUUAAAUAAAGACCUGUAUGAAUGGCAAGACGAGGGCUUAACUGUCUCCUUUUUUAAGUCAAUGAAAUUGAUCUUCCCGUGCAGAAGCGGGAAUUCCUCCAUAAGACGAGAAGACCCUAUGGAGCUUCAGACACUAAGACAGAUCACGUCAAAACCCCCUAAUAAAGGACUGAACUAAAUGGUUCCUGCCCUAAUGUCUUCGGUUGGGGCGACCCCGGGGAACUACAAAACCCCCGCGUGGAAUGAGAGCACCUCCCCCUCCCCCCAUUGCUCCCACAACUAAGAGCCUCCGCUCUAAUAAACAGAAUUUCUGACCAAUACAGAUCCGGCAACGCCGAUCAACGGACCAAGUUACCCUAGGGAUAACAGCGCAAUCCUCUUUUAGAGCCCAUAUCGACAAGAGGGUUUACGACCUCGAUGUUGGAUCAGGACAUCCUAAUGGUGCAGCCGCUAUUAAGGGUUCGUUUGUUCAACGAUUAAAGUCCUACGUGAUCUGAGUUCAGACCGGAGCAAUCCAGGUCAGUUUCUAUCUAUGCCUUGCUCUUUCCUAGUACGAAAGGACCGAAAAGAAAGGACCCAUACUACAAGUACGCCCUACCCUCACCCAAUGCAAACAACUAAAAUAGACAAGAGGACAUAUUCACUCCGCCCAAGAAAAUGGCCU